rnacentral:tRNA from 1 species
GGUUGUAGCUCAGUGGUAGAGCAUUUGCCUAGCAUGCAUGGGUACUGGGUUCAAUCCUCAGCACCA